UACGUAGGGUGCAAGCGUUUGUCCGGAAUUAUUGGGCGUAAAGAGCUUGUAGGCGGUUUGUCGCGUCUGCUGUGAAAUUUCGGGGCUCAACCCCGAACUUGCAGUGGGUACGGGCAGACUAGAGUGUGGUAGGGGAGACUGGAAUUCCUGGUGUAGCGGUGAAAUGCGCAGAUAUCAGGAGGAACACCGAUGGCGAAGGCAGGUCUCUGGGCCACUACUGACGUGAGAAGCGAAAGCAUGGGGGAGCGAACAGG
rnacentral:rRNA from 1 species